UUAACGAACGAGAGCACCUACGAAUGCUGUCCUAAACAAGACAAAAGGUCGCGCUUGGCUAGGUGCACAUUUCAGAACUUUUCAUCACCGGCGACGAACGUGGAGCUUGAAACGAACAUUCCCGUUGUUCGGAGGAAUAGACGAGACCUAAGACCGAUCACUUGACGAAGACACUGACGACACGGUGGAUACGAGCAACCCCCGGGACAGCUCCUAGUACCGGGCGGUGCUUGGGCCCGGUGGUGGUGUUUUUGGGACAGAAUGCUGUUCGAUCUCUGAACACCGUUCUAUGUCGUACCUCAGUGUCUUAGCCGUGGAAUCACACGCGACGUACGGGCCUCAUUUUCCGAAUCCCGUCAGCCAUUUACAACCAUGGGGGCCCCGCCACGGUCGGUCGCUCCGAAACACACAAUCGCGGCGCGGCAAAAUUCUAUCCCGGGAACUCAGGACGACGACACGCCGGCACGCAUGCAGCCGUAACGAUCACGCCGUCGCCUGGGCACCCACGUCGGCCACCCUCAGGAUCACCACACGCCCUUAGUCAUGGACAUCACCGCGGCGAACUCUUUGCACUUUCAUUGUGUCCCUUGAAAAUUCGAAUGAGCACCGUCCGCCAUGUUCGGGGAAACACUUGCUAGAGACUACGUUGAUCAAAGAAGCUACUGCGGUGGCAGUGCUCCCCAUAGGGAUGUCUAACGAAAUAGAAAGUCCCACUUCAUAUUCGCACGAAACUUCUUCUACGAUAUCUGACAUAAUCUACGGGAUCGGUACAGAAAUGUGUGCAACAGUUUGAAAUCAUUAGCUUCUUUUACGAAGAAUAAUUACAUCGAACAAGUGCUGCAGUUAUAAAUAUUUUGUUGAAACGAAAUAUUUUCAAUAUAAAUGAAAUUGUUGUAGUUCGCAGCUUUAAGUUUACUUUAUUUUCAAAUAGGAAGUGAUAGUUGUAUGGAGAAUAUGGAAGCAAGCAUGUACAUUUCACGUGAUUAUUCUGUCAAUAAUGUUGUUUAGAAUACGUGCAAAAAUGUAGCAUGUAGAGGGCACCUGAAUUUUGAUGUACGGUCAUGGUCGUUAGCUGGACGACCUAUUGUGGUGCAGCCAUAAUAUAAACAAUUCGUGAUGAGACAGACAGAGAUUCAGCUGUAACACGAUAAUUAGUUACGAUUAAGCGGCACGUUCCAUUAGAAUAACACAGAUGAGGCUCGCCAUUUUGGAAUACAAAAUACAUUUAUUUUUCAAACAAAAUAAAAGAAGAAUUUCAUAUUGCAUACAUGCUUGCAUAUUUGCAUUUUAAAAGGAAAUAUCAGAGAAAAAGGAAAGGACGAUAAACUAAAUAAAUAAAGUAUUUAUUUUCACAAAAUAUAAGUUUGGGAAAUGUGACAACAGCAACGUCGAAAGGUUACAAUAAAUAAUUACAAGAUUAUUUAAACAUUGGAAGCAUAAUUUUUGGUCAUAUAAAAUUCAUUUUGUACCAUAUAAAUUUAUUACGAAUGUGACUUUUUUGGUUUACGAUUGUAACUUUUGUACAUUCAAUUUAAUAUUAUGCAAUUAAAAUAGAAAAUUGUUUAUAAAUGUAUUUAAUAAUACAGGAAAUUUGUACAUUUUGUUGUAAUUAUAAUUUUGUAUAUAGAAACAUCGGUGAAAUACAGAAUCCCGAGUA